CCGAGCCCAGGGCCGCCUCGCAGGAGGGAAAGUUCAGCGGCAGCAGGGGAGCAGCGUAGCCGAGGGAGCCGGCUCCGCUGUCUGCAGUGUUGCCUGGGGAGCUAUUGCAUCACACCUGGAGGGACCAGUGCAGCAGCUAUGGACCAGAGAAGGAAGUAGGCGGAAAAGGAGAACACCAUAGCCUGCCUGUGUAGACCUGGGAGGGUGAGGAGCUGAGGCUGAAGCUCCUUGUCUUUUUCUUCUUGGAAGGUCAGUCUACACACUCAGCUCUCUUCUUGCUGUAUUUCGUGACACCACAGCCCUGGGGACUUUCUAUUGCCUCCCAGUGGCUGGAGAACAUUUGUAGCCUUCGAAACGGCUCCUUGCUUAUCGAGCGGAAUACCCGGUGGCAACAGAGAAGUGUCAUCCGAGAAUGCUUAUCAAAGGUUCAGUGUUGGAAACCUGUCUUUAGAUUGGUGAUAUCGAUUUGAGAGGUUCCUUGAUCAUGCAUGACAGAUUGGAGAGUUGUCAUGUGGGUCUACAGUCCUCAGUGUGAGAAGCUUUGAACAACCAUUUCUAUGGCUGGAAUCUUCCAAUGAUCUACUUUUGAUUACCUCUGGGACAUAACCAGUGGUGGCGCUGAGCUGAACACGGUGCUAGCAGAAGGGGGCGGUACUUUCCCUCUGGACCCUGACUUGGAAGCCAAGUGACUCCAGCGCAGUCACCACCAGAAGCAGAUGUGCGAGCGGAACAGCUGUGUGCCUUUCUUUCUGCCGAGGUUAGCUUGUUUGGGUUUGUUCUUUUCCACGUGGAAGUGUGGUGUUUUGCCUUCCUCUGUUCUCAGCCGGGCUUUCGUGCUUUUAGAUAUUGAUGGUUUCAUUUCAAAAAAAAAUAUUUUGCGUUGUACUUAUUAAAGAGGAAGAGGGGUAUAUUCUACUACUUUGGGGGCAUGAUAUGUUCAGAGGAGUUGUGUGUUACAUCCUAAAUCACAUGCAUUUUACCGUUAUUAAAUCUCACUGUAUUUAAAGGAUGGAAAUUUACAGGGGUUGCCUCCCAUUUCUUUUCCUCUUAGCAUUUUAGACUCCUUUUUCCAUUAUAAGAGAAGCCAAGAUCAUUUUUAGCCUUUAAGGACUUAUGUAGCACUUACUCUGGCAGAUAAGUGAAUCUGUUUGUCGCAGGUGACUUAGAAAGCUAACCUUAU